GGUUCCAUGGUGUAAUGGUGAGCACUCUGGACGGUGAAUCCAGCGAUCUAAGUUCAAGUCUCGGUGGAACCU
rnacentral:tRNA from 2 species